rnacentral:tRNA from 1 species
UCCCUAGUAGCACAGAAGGUAAAGCAUCUGCCUGCAAUGCAGGAGACCUAGGUUUAAUCCCUGGGUUGGGAA